UUCAGAUGCGAAAGCGUGGGGAGCAACCAGGAUUAGAUACCUUGUUAGUCCACACCGUAAACGAUGUUUACUUGGAGGUUGUGCCCUUGAGCCGUGGCUUUCGGAGUUACCGCGUUAAGUAGACCGCCUGGGGAGUACGGUCGCAGAUUAAAACUCAAAUGAAUUGACGGGGGCCCGCACAAGCGGUGGAGCAUGUGGUUUAAUUCGAUGCAACGCGAAGAACCUUACCUACUCUUGACAUCCAGAGAACUUUCCAGAGAUGGAUUGGUGCCUUCGGGAACUCUGAGACAGGUGCUGCAUGGCUGUCGUCAGCUCGUGUAGUGAAAUGUUGGGUUAAGUCCCGCAACGAGCGCAACCCUUAUCCUUGUUUGCCAGCGAGUAAUGUCGGGAACUCCAGGGAGACUGCCGGUGAUAAACCGGAGGAAGGUGGGGACGACGUCAAGUCAUCACGGCCCUUACGAGUAGGGCUACACACGUGCUACAAUGGCGCAUACAGAGGGCGGCCAACUUGCGAAAGUGAGCGAAUCCCAAAAAGUGCGUCGUAGUCCGGAUUGGAGUCUGCAACUCGACUCCAUGAAGUCGGAAUCGCUAGUAAUUGUGGAUCAGAAUGCUACGGUGAAUACGUUCCCGGGCCUUGUACACACCGCCCA
rnacentral:rRNA from 1 species